UUUCAGUUCUAACACUCCCUGCCUUCAAUUUUACGAGAGGGAAAACUAAAAGCGGCUGAGGCGAUCUGGAUGGGACAGGCAGUAAAGCAAAGCUUAUGGAGCAUCUCGGCAAAUACCAGGCACAGGACCAAGUGUGGGGCUUGACCUGCUCCUUCUCAUUAAGACAGUGUACACAAAUACCAGCACAGAAUGGGGGGGGUGGUGGUGUCCUGGGCUAAGUUUUAGGCUGCUGGAUAACCCAACCUGAGAACCAGGAGGGCAAGAAGUCAGUCUCCUUUUUCUCAUGGGUUCUGCCAAGAUCAGCGAGCUUUAUAAGGCUAUAGACACAAUUGGGGGAAUUCUGUGACUAGGUGGACCUCUGAGCCUACUGGCUAGUUUUCCCAUUUCACAAAGAUGAGCAAUAGUAAAUUGACUGGGUAAGUAAGUCACGUGAGGACGGUCAUCAGAAGCAGCCAAUGACAAGAGAGAGAAGAGUAGAAGUGAGGGGGUGGGGGGCAGGGGACAGGCCAGAUACAGACCGGCCGCCCAUCAGACUUGGUCCCUGGGCUUUGCCACCUGUCACAUGACUUAAUCUCCUUCCUUCAGUGGCUUGCUCCUCUGUGACAAGGGCUAGGGGCCACAGACGCAGCUCCGUAGUACAUGCCUGGUGUGUGUGUGAAGCCCUGGGUUUGAGCCUCAGCUCCCAGAAACAAACAAGUAAAAGAUGAAGCCAGGCAUAGUGUCUCAUACUUCCAAUGCUGAAAGGAAUGCAUCCAGGAAGCCGAAGCCUGAGGACUGACAGAAGCUUAGGGCCCGCAAAGGAAUUCUAUCCAGGCUGGAGCACAGUGUGAGGCCCGGCCUCACAACACAGAACAAAUAUACAAAGGAAAAGGGUGAAAGUGGGUGACCUGAGGGAGACAAUCUACAUGAGGAACUCAGUACAGCGGUCAGGAGGACUCAGAAACGACACUAACUGGAACUGUGCUCACAUAAAACAGAUGACUCCGGAACAUUUUCACGGGAGAUGAUCACUCUAGAAACAAUUGCUGCUAUGAGGCACUUGAGAAGGCCACAGCCACGUCUCUCGGGAAUGGCCGGAUUACAAGAUGAUCUCUUCAAACACUUGACCUUCAGAAGGAGAAGCUGAAGAUCUCGGUCUUCCACCAAAACACCUGCUCUGGACCCCACUCAAGUCCACUUGUCCUAGACCAUUAGUACCUCCAGGGCCUCUCGUCACUUAGGGUGUUUGUUCCUACAUGGCUCUCAGAGCUCUUGAGGAACAACACAACAGGGUCACCUCACCUCAAGGGACCACUAUUCUUCCCAUGGAUACUCAAAACUGUCAAAGAGGGUCCUUCACCAAAAGCCUAGUUCUAAAUGGCAUCAUCUCACACGAUGCAGGUGGUAAGGCAGGUAGUUUGUGAUCCGGGUGUCUUUCCAGGACCUCUUAAGUUACCCUGUUUUCCUACUCCAAAAUGUAACUUCCAUAAGGGCAGUAAUUUUGUCUGUUUUAACCAUUACUAAUCAGCAAUGGCACGGCUCUCAGCCCACGGUUGUUGAAUAAAUACAGAUAAAGCCUGA